rnacentral:rRNA from 1 species
CCUACGGGAGGCAGCAGUGAGGAAUAUUGGUCAAUGGUAGAGAGCCUGAACCAGCCAAGCCGCGUGAGGGAAGACGGCCCUAUGGGUUGUACACCUCUUUUGUCAGAGAACAAAACCCGGGACGUGUCCCGGGCUGCGUGUACCCGAAGAAAAAGCAUCGGCUAACUCCGUGCCAGCAGCCGCGGUAAUACGGAGGAUGCGAGCGUUAUCCGGAUUUAUUGGGUUUAAAGGGUGCGUAGGCGGCCUUUUAAGGCAGCGGUGAAAGUCUGUGGCUCAACCAUGGAAUUGCUGUUGAAACUGGGAGGCUUGAGUAUGUUAGAGGCAGGCGGAAUGCGUGGUGUAGCGGUGAAAUGCUUAGAUAUCACGCAGAACCCCGAUUGCGAAGGCAGCCUGCCAGGCCAUGACUGACGCUGAGGCACGAAAGCGUGGGGAUCAAACAGGAUUAGAUACCCGGGUAGUC